CCCUUAGAUGUUCUGGGCCGCACACGCGCUACACUGAAGGAGGCAGCGUGUACUCCUGGAUCGAAAGAUUUGGGUAACCCGCGAAUCUCCUUCGUGCUAGGGAUUGAGGUUUGCAAUUAUCCUUCAUGAACGAGGAAUUCCCAGUAAGUGCAAGUCAUAAGCUUGCGCUGACUACGUCCCUGCCCUUUGUACACACCGCCCGUCACUACUACCGAUUGAAUGAUUUAGUGAGGACUUCGGACUGGGACCGAUGCGGCUUUCGGGCUGCGUCGGUAUUCUGGAAAGAUGUCCAAACUGUAUCAUUUAGAGGAAGUAAAAGUCGUAACA
rnacentral:rRNA from 1 species